rnacentral:rRNA from 1 species
UGCCAGCCGCCGCGGUAAUACGGAGGGUGCUAGCGUUGUUCGGAAUUACUGGGCGUAAAGCGCGCGUAGGCGGCUUAGUAAGUUGGAAGUGAAAUCCCGGGGCUUAACCUCGGAAUUGCUUUCAAAACUACUAAGCUAGAGUAUGGUAGGGGAAAGUGGAAUUCUUAGUGUAGGGGUGAAAUCCGUAGAUAUUAAGAGGAACACCAGAGGCGAAGGCGACUUUCUGGACCAUUACUGACGCUGAGGUGCGAAAGCGUGGGGAGCGAACGGGAUUAGAUA